GACGAACGCUGGCGGCGUGCUUAACACAUGCAAGUCGAACGGAAAGGCCCUGCUUUUGUGGGGUGCUCGAGUGGCGAACGGGUGAGUAACACGUGAGUAACCUGCCCUUGACUUUGGGAUAACUUCAGGAAACUGGGGCUAAUACCGGAUAGGAGCUCCUGCUGCGUGGUGGGGGUUGGAAAGUUUCGGCGGUUGGGGAUGGACUCGCGGCUUAUCAGCUUGUUGGUGGGGUAGUGGCUUACCAAGGCUUUGACUGGUAGCCGGCCUGAGAGGGUGACCGGCCACAUUGGGACUGAGAUACGGCCCAGACUCCUACGGGAGGCAGAAGUGGGGAAUAUUGCACAAUGGGCGGAAGCCUGAUGCAGCAACGCCGCGUGCGGGAUGACGGCCUUCGGGUUGUAAACCGCUUUCGCCUGUGACGAAGCGUGAGUGACGGUAAUGGGUAAAGAAGCACCGGCUAACUACGUG
rnacentral:rRNA from 1 species